rnacentral:lncRNA from 10 species
AUGCCCCUGACCUUGUCCCCUCUGUCCUGUCCCCCAGCGGAUCUGUACUCCGCCGAGCCUGGGGAGGAGGAGCCGGCAUGGGUGCAGACGGAGAGGCAGCAGUUCCGGGACUUCCGGGAUCUAAACAAGGACGGGCACCUGGACGGGAGUGAAGUGGGCCACUGGGUGCUGCCCCCGGCCCAGGACCAGCCCCUGGUGGAAGCCAACCACCUCCUGCACGAGAGCGACACGGACAAGGAUGGGCGGCUGAGCAAAGCGGAGAUCCUGAGUAAUUGGAACAUGUUUGUGGGCAGUCAGGCCACCAACUAUGCUCCGAAUCUGAGCCUCCACCACACAGACUGAAGCUCCCCUGGCCCCAGCCCUCUCCUGCCUGGCCCGGCCUGGGACACCUCCUCCCUGCCAGGAGCCAAUAAAAGCCAGCGCCGGGACCUUGUGUGUCUGUGUCUGUCUGUUGUCUGCCUGUCUCUAUGAAGGGGAAAGGGGCCCUGGAGACGGUUUGGGGGCUGUGACUGGGAGUUGGGGGCUGAGGCAUGCAAUAGGGGACCAGGCAUUUGAAGCUGGGUGUUGGAGGGAUUGGAGGGCGUUCUGGGUAUAAAAACAAACAAACGAACAAAAUUGGGCCUGGCCCAGUGGCUCAGGCCUGUAAUUCCAGCAAUUUGGGAGGCCGAGGCAGGCGUUCCAAACUCCUGAGGUCAGGAGUUCGAGACCAGCCUGGCCAACAUGGUGAAAUCCUAUCUCUACUAGAAAUACAAAAAUUAGCCGGGCAUGGUGGCGGGCGUCUGUAGUCCCAGCUACUCCGGAGGCUGAAGCAGGAGAAUCGCUUGAACCCGGGAGCUGGAGGUUGUAGUGAGCUGAGAUGGUGCCACUGCACUCCAGCCUGGGUGACAGAGCGAGACUCUGUCUCAAAAAAAAAAAAAAAAGGAAAAAAAAGUCUGGCCUCUGCAGCACACAAACCAGACAGGAAGCCCUGCCGCCCUCACAGAGCCCCAGUUCUGUGGGGAAGAAGAGACACAGCGACCUAAAACAUGCCACGGCGUGACAGACGCUGUGAAGCAGGGGAAGCGUGUAGCAGUGUGGCAAUGCUCUGAUCACUGAGUGGCCGGGAAAGGUCUCAAUGAUAAAUGGCGUGAAGGAGGGAGCCACGGAGAGAUGUGGAGGGAGAGCACUCCAGGGAGAGAGAAGAGCAAGUAAAAUGGCACUGAGGCAGGAGUGGGCCUGGUGUGGCAGCAAGGAGGCUAGAGUGGCUGGAAGGGCAUGAGCCAGGGGAAGAAGGUCAACUGAAAGCAGAUGGGGCAUGCGGCCAGACUCUGCAGGUCCCUGCAGGCAGGUCAUGGUGGUCCCUGUUUGGUGGGACAAGACAGAGAUGGACAGAGACCCAGAGAGAAGGGGAUGGGGACUCAGAGAGAGAGGGACAGAGACCCAGAGAGAGGGGGCAGAAAGAGAGAGGGAAACAGAGACCCAGAGAGAGGGGGACAGCGACCCAGAGAGAGAGGGGGACAGAAUUUAUUCUGAGUGAAAUGAGAGCCGCUGGAGUGUAAUGAGCAGAGGAAGGAUUAUAAACAGCUUUGAGUUAUUUAAGAGUCGGGUUGGGCGCAGUGGUUCACGCCAGUAAUCCCAAGGAUUAAUCAAGGGUUGUUUGAGCCCAGGAGUUCAAGACCAGCCUGGGAUGAUCUUUCAUGAAGACAGCAUCUCUCUUUUUCUUUCUUUGCUUUUUUUUUUUGAGACGGAGUCUCACUCUGUCGCCCAGGCUGGAGUGCAGUGGU